UCGAGCGAUGAAGCACCUUCGGGUGUGAAUUAGCGGCGAACGGGUGAGGAACACGUGAGAAAUCUGCCUUCAACACUGGGAUAACUCCGGGAAACCGGGGCUAAUACCGGAUAUGAAAUCUGCGGGCAUCCGCGGAUUUGGAAAGUUUUUCGGUUGAAGAUGAUCUCGCGGCCUAUCAGCUUGUUGGUGAGGUAAUGGCUCACCAAGGCGACGACGGGUAGCCGGCCUGAGAGGGCGACCGGCCACACUGGGACUGAGACACGGCCCAGACUCCUACGGGAGGCAGCAGUGGGGAAUAUUGGGCAAUGGAGGAAACUCUGACCCAGCGACGCCGCGUGCGGGAUGAAGGCCUUCGGGUUGUAAACCGCUUUCAGCAGGGAAGAAGCGAAAGUGACGGUACCUGCAGAAGAAGCACCGGCUAACUAUGUGCCAGCAGCCGCGGUAAUACAUAGGGUGCAAGCGUUGUCCGGAAUUAUUGGGCGUAAAGAGCUCGUAGGUGGUUCGUCACGUCGGAUGUGAAACUCUGGGGCUUAACCCCAGACCUGCAUUCGAUACGGGCGAGCUUGAGUAUGGUAGGGGAGUCUGGAAUUCCUGGUGUAGCGGUGGAAUGCGCAGAUAUC
rnacentral:rRNA from 1 species